CUCAACUAUUAGGCUUCGGGGAGUACUGCCAGACUUGGAACCGGGAGAGGUAAGAGGUACUACAGGGGUAGGAGUGAAAUACUUGUAAUCCCUGUGGGACCACCUGUGGCGAAGGCGUCUUACCAGAACGGGUUCGACGGUGAGGGACGAAAGCUGGGGGCACGAACCGGAUUAGAUACCCGGGUAGUCCCAGCCGUAAACGAUGCUCGCUAGGUGUCAGGCAUGGCGCGACCGUGCCUGGUGCCGCAGGGAAGCCGUGAAGCGAGCCACCUGGGAAGUACGGCCGCAAGGCUGAAACUUAAAGGAAUUGGCGGGGGAGCACAACAACGGGUGGGAAGCCUGCGGUUUAAUUGGACUCAACGCCGGACAACUCACCGGGGGCGACAGCAAUAUGUAGGCCAAGCUGAAGACUUUGCCUGAAUCGCUGAGUAGUGGUGCAUGG
rnacentral:rRNA from 1 species